CAGGCUUACCAUGCAGUCGAGCGGGUGUAUCAAUCAUCAGCGGCAGACGGGUGAGUAACGCGUGGGAACGUACCUUUUGGUUCGGAACAACCCAGGGAAACUUGGGCUAAUACCGGAUAAGCCCUUACGGGGAAAGAUUCAUCGCCGAAGGAUCGGCCCGCGUCUGAUUAGCUAGUUGGUGGGGUAAUGGCCCACCAAGGCGACGAUCAGUAGCUGGUCUGAGAGGAUGAUCAGCCUCACUGGGACUGAGACACGGCCCAGACUCCUACGGGAGGCAGCAGUGGG
rnacentral:rRNA from 1 species